rnacentral:rRNA from 1 species
GUCCACGCUGUAAACGAUGGAUGCUAGAUGUUGGGGGGCUUGCCCUUCGGUGUCGUAGCUAACGCGAUAAGCAUCCCGCCUGGGGAGUACGGCCGCAAGGUUAAAACUCAAUGGAAUUGACGGGGGCCCGCACAAGCGGUGGAGCAUGUGGUUUAAUUCGACGCAACGCGCAGAACCUUACCAGCCCUUGACAUGGGUAGUAUGGGCUCGAGAGAUCGGGUUCUUCAGUUCGGCUGGCUACCACACAGGUGCUGCAUGGCUGUCGU